ACAACAUUUCAUUUCCAGGAUUGUUCAGGUGUCACCGGAAAUUCCGCCGGGUGUCACUCUUUUUAGGCCAGAUUUCCGUCACCUUCCACUUUCUUUGUGUUGGCGUUCUAAACUCCGGUAGAUUUACAGUAUGAG